AAAAAAAAAAAAACAAAACAAAAAGAAACAGCCUUCACAAUCAUGAAACUGAAAAUUUCUGAGAUAUCUGGCAUUCAUGAGUGGAUAGAACUCAUCCCUAUCUUCACUAGCAUGCAUCGGGAAGAACACAAAUAUGAUUAACUAGGAUGCUCUGAGAAAAUAUAUAACCAAAGAAUACAUUUCAUCACCAUGAUCAAUAUCUUGCAAAGAUAUAAAAUCUCCAACGAGACCAAGAUAAAAACAAGGCAAAACAAGAAAAUACAACUUUUUAUGUCACAUGAAGAGUCUCGGCUCUUGCCGUUACUUUUAGAAAUUGCAAGAUUUUUAAGAUAUAAAAACCAAUCAACUUGCUUUACAAGUUAAAAACAUGUGCUUUGCAGGCAAAACCUACUGCUCCUUCCCCUCGUCCCUUCCAGCCUAUUACUCCCUCCCUCCCUCACCAUUACUUUUAGAAAUUGCAAGAUUUUUAAGAUAUAAAAACCAAUCAACUUGCUUUACAAGUUAAAAACAUGUGCUUUGCAGGCAAAACCUACUGCUCCUUCCCCUCGUCCCUUCCAGCCUAUUACUCCCUCCCUCCCUCACCA
rnacentral:misc_RNA from 1 species